rnacentral:rRNA from 1 species
AGAACGAACGCUGGCGGCAGGCCUAAUACAUGCAAGUCGAACGCACUCUUCGGAGUGAGUGGCAGACGGGUGAGUAACGCGUGGGAACCUUCCCAAUGGUACGGAAUAACUCCGGGAAACCGGUGCUAAUACCGUAUAAGCCCCUCGGGGGAAAGAUUUAUCGCCAUUGGAUGGGCCCGCGUCGGAUUAGCUAGUUGGUAAGGUAAUGGCUUACCAAGGCUACGAUCCGUAGCUGGUCUGAGAGGAUGAUCAGCCACACUAGGACUGAGACACGGCCCAGACUCCUACGGGAGGCAGCAGUAGGGAAUCUUGGACAAUGGGCGAAAGCCUGAUCCAGCCAUGCCGCGUGAGUGAAGAAGGCCUUAGGGUUGUAAAGCUCUUUUGGCGGGGACGAUAAUGACGGUACCCGCAGAAUAAGCCCGGCUAACUUCGUGCCAGCAGCCGC